GACGAACGCUGGCGGCGUGCUUAACACAUGCAAGUCGAACGGAAAGGCCCUGCUUUUGUGGGGUGCUCGAGUGGCGAACGGGUGAGUAACACGUGAGUAACCUGCCCUUGACUUUGGGAUAACUUCAGGAAACUGGGGCUAAUACCGGAUAGGAGCUCCUGCUGCAUGGUGGGGGUUGGAAAGUUUCGGCGGUUGGGGAUGGACUCGCGGCUUAUCAGCUUGUUGGUGGGGUAGUGGCUUACCAAGGCUUUGACGGGUAGCCGGCCUGAGAGGGUGACCGGCCACAUUGGGACUGAGAUACGGCCCAGACUCCUACGGGAGGCAGCAGUGGGGAAUAUUGCACAAUGGGCGGAAGCCUGAUGCAGCAACGCCGCAUGCGGGAUGACGGCCUUCGGGUUGUAAACCGCUUUCGCCUGUGACGAAGCGUGAGUGGCGGUAAUGGGUAAAGAAGCACCGGCUAACUACGUG
rnacentral:rRNA from 1 species